rnacentral:lncRNA from 1 species
UACAUAUAUAUUUUCUUCUAAACUAUAAUACAUACACAGGAGCGUGCACAAACAAAUCUCCUGAUGCAAAAUAAAAACUGAGUAGUAUGCCCAAAAUACACGCCAGUGUCAAAUUAUACAAGUACAAUAAUAAUUUUGAGGAUAGAUAGACUAAGACAGACCAAGAAACUGCUUGGAAGUCUAUUCAUUGGAGUACCAAAAUAAAAAAAGAAUAAGCAUCAAUAUUGGGAGUUGUGCUUCCCAUUCCUUUCAAAUAUGAUAAUAUCAUCAAAAAAG